AUGGCUCCCCGUGAUGGCAUCGCCCCUGCUGGCCAGGGUCUGCCCUACGCAGAGUACUCGCUGCUGGUGACCAAAGGGCCAGACGCGGACGUUGACCAGGGACUGAGCCUUUCAUCCUACUAUAAAGGAGGAUUUGAACAGAAAAUGAGUAGGCGAGAAGCUAGUCUUAUUUUGGGUAUAAGCCCAUCUGCUGGCAAGGCCAAGAUUAGAACAGCUCAUAGGAGAAUCAUGAUUUUGAAUCACCCAGAUAAAGGUGGAUCUCCUUACCUAGCAACCAAAAUAAAUGAAGCAAAAAACUUGCUAGAAGCAACCACCAAACACUGAUUGAUGCUUCAGAAUCAUUCUGAAGGAAAAAAGGG